CCUACGGGUGGCAGCAGUAGGGAAUCUUCGGCAAUGGGGGGAACCCUGACCGAGCAACGCCGCGUGAGUGAAGAAGGUUUUCGGAUCGUAAAGCUCUGUUGUAAGAGAAGAACGGGUGUGAGAGUGGAAAGUUCACACUGUGACGGUAUCUUACCAGAAAGGGACGGCUAACUACGUGCCAGCAGCCGCGGUAAUACGUAGGUCCCGAGCGUUGUCCGGAUUUAUUGGGCGUAAAGCGAGCGCAGGCGGUUAGAUAAGUCUGAAGUUAAAGGCUGUGGCUUAACCAUAGUAUGCUUUGGAAACUGUUUAACUUGAGUGCAGAAGGGGAGAGUGGAAUUCCAUGUGUAGCGGUGAAAUGCGUAGAUAUAUGGAGGAACACCGGUGGCGAAAGCGGCUCUCUGGUCUGUAACUGACGCUGAGGCUCGAAAGCGUGGGGAGCAAACAGGAUUAGAUACCCCAGUAGUC
rnacentral:rRNA from 1 species